CUAAGUGUAAUUUAUAAAAAAAUUUAGAAUUGUGGUUUCUAAUUAAUCAAAUUGAAAUUGAUCAUUUAGA